ACGCCGCAAAUUCGAUAGCUUUUCCACACAAUUUCAUCACGUUGACACAACCAGUGCUAGACCCAUUGUUCUGAUUGUACCGAGGGUUAUUCGAUUCAUCUAGUUUGUUUGAAAUCGUUUCGCAUAAACUGAUUGAUAUUAUAUAAAUCGUACCUUCGAUGGCUUGUUCUUCAACUUCAUCCAUUCAGAAGAGCUUCAAGUAUGAUGUGUUUCUGAGUUUCAGAGGUGAAGACACUCGUACUAACUUCGUUGAUCAUCUUUAUCAUGCUCUUCAUCAGAAAAGUAUUCACACAUACAGGGACGACGUGAGAAUCAAGAAAGGGAAAAGAAUAAGUGAUGAGCUCAUCGGAUCCAUUAAAGAUUCAAAGUUCUACAUCAUUGUUUUCUCCAAGAACUAUGCAUCUUCUUGUUGAUGCUUGGAUGAACUUGUGAAGAUAAUGGAAUGUCACAGCACCACUGAGCAUACCGCCUAUCCCGUCUUCUAUGAUGUAGAGCCGUCUGAAGUCCGCAAACAAAGCGGGGCAGUAGCGGAAGCAUUUGCUAAAGCCUAAACAUGAAAAGGAAGAGGCUGCUGGGAAAUGGAGAGAGGCUCUGGGUGGGAGUUGAAGAACACCGCUAACGGGCAUGAAGCUGAAUUCAUCCAAAAAAUUGUUGAAGAGCUUUCACUAGAGCUACGAUCUGUCAGUUUCAACGUUGAUGAAAAAUUAGUAGGAAUGGAGACCUGGGUCAAGGAAGUUGUAUCAGCUUUAGGAACUGAUUUUGAUGUUGCAUGCAUCAUGAAAGGUUGGUGGAAAGAUGAUGCAAUCAAAGCGCUUGAAAGCUGUGGAUUUCAUGCUAGAAAUGGUUUAAGAGUUCUUCAACAAAAAUCUCUCAUAACUAUUAAUGGUAAUUCUAAUUAUGAGUGGGUGGACAUGCAUGACCAUAUUUUAGAAAUGGGCAGGAAUAUUGUUCGUCGGCUGCACACAAACAUAGCCGAUUGUGGAUUAACAAAGAAAUUGAAGACAUAUUGGCUAAUGAAUUGGUAAGGAUUAAGUUUAUUUGUUAUGACUUAAAUUUCAUGGUGACUUGUUUUGGAUUACAGGGUACUAAAGCAACAAGAUGUAUACGAUCUACCAUGAGAUUCAAUCUGGAUAUUGGUAUAAAAGGUCUUGGAAAGAUGAAGAAACUUAGGUUUCUUUCAAUGUUUCUCCCAUUUCCCUAUAUUUCCGAAUUUAAUAUAGUUAGCCAAGACUUUCCAAAUGCUUUACAAUAUCUGCAAGUGAGAAAUUACCCUUUUAGGUCUUUACCCAAAACAUUUCAAGCAACUAAUCUUGUUGCACUUGAGAUGACAUACAGUAAGAUCGUUCAACUUUGGGAAGGGGGAGAAAGAAAGGUUCUCAACAAGCUCAGAUUCCUUGACCUUAGUGAUUCAAUGCUAAGCACCCUUGACCUUGGGCUUACUCCAAAUCUCGAGACAUUGUCUCUUCAACGUUGUGCUGAUUUGCAAGAACUUCACAUGACAAUUGGAUGUUUAAAGCUCACGUCUGUCGACCUUCAAGGUUCAAGGUUAAGGACCCUUGACCUUUGCCUGGCUCCAAAUCUUGAGACUGUGAUUCUUGCUGAAUGUUGUAAUUUGGUAGAACUUCACAUGCCCGAUAGAUGUUUAAAUCUCAGGUCCUUACUACUCUCUAAUUCCAAGUUGAAUACCCUUAACAUUGGGCUGACUCCAAAUCUUGAGUCUUUAGAUCUUAAUAAUUGUUGCUAUUUGGAAGAUUUUCACAUGGCUUGUGAAUGUCUAAAGCUGACCAAGCUCGACAUUAAUCAUUCAAAGUUGAGGACACUUGAUAUUGGGAUGACUCCGAAUCUCGAGAAUUUGGAUCUCAGUAGUUGUUAUUGUUUUGAAGAACUUCACAUGGCCGAUAAAUGUGAAAAGCUCGCGUAUCUAACAAUUAGUCAUUCAAAGUUGAGGACCCUUAACCUUGGGCUGACUCCAAAUCUCAAGACGUUACAUCUUAAAGAAUGUAGUAAUUUGGUAGAACUUCACACUCCCAUCGGAUGUCUUAAAAAGCUUGCCCACCUAGAUAUAAGUGGUUGUUUGGGGUUUAACUCUUUUUUGUUUAAUUUAAAAAAGACUAUACUUCUUGUAGUGAUGAUGAAUCACAAUCACUCGAGGAUUAUACUUCUUGUAGUUUGGAUGGAUCGUUUGAGGCCGAUCCUUUAACUGAGUUACAUAUCAUUGUAAAGUCCAUAGAAAGCUGCCCACUUCAUCCCAACAAUAUCUUGCCAAAGUUUCAGUUUAGUUGUUUCUAUGAAGAAGAUCGACCUUCAUUGACUGGAAAUCAUGAGAUGCUUAUUUCUCUAGGUAUGUGUGCUUGAGACUUUUUUAGGAAUUGUUGGUGGGUUACGGCGUUUAAGAAAGUUUAAACUAGAAGGCGAUAUUCUUGAGAACCUUGACCAGUCAAUGAAGGCUGUUGAGUUAGUUUUGUUGUCUACAACGCUUAACUAUCUUCCGGAUAAUAUUUGGAUGUUGAAACAUCUAAAAUCUCUCAAACUUAAUCUUUGUGUGUGGCUUGAGAAGUUACCCGAGGAUCUUGGCCGAUUAGAAUGUUUAGAGAAGCUGAAUUUUUCAUAUAUAAAGAUUAGCCAUCUUCCGGAUAUGUUGAAACAUCUGAAAUCUCUCCAACUUAGAUUCUGUUGCUUUCUUGAGAAGUUACCAGAGGAUCUUGGCCGAUUAGAGAGUCUAGCUUUAUCUUGUACAAUGAUUAAAGAACUUCCAGAUAGCAUUUGCAUGUUGAAACAUCUGAAAUCUCUCGAGCUUAUUUCUUGUUCGUUGCUUGAGAAGUUACCUGAGGAUCUUGGAGGACAACUGGAAUGUUUAGAGAAGUGUAAAUUUUUACAAGGAAUCCCGAAUAGCAUCGGUAAGAUGAAAUGUCUAAGAUAUUUCCAUCUCCCCUAUUGUAUUCGAGUUGAGAAAUUGCCUGAGGAACUUGGAAGUUUUGAAUGUUUAAAAGAGUUGGAUAUACAAGGUACAAGCAUAAGUCAUCUUCCGAAGAGCAUUUUUUUGUUGAAAGAUGUACAUAUUAAAAUCGGCCACGACUUGGAUCAUCUUGUCAGUUAGAGUUAAGUUGAAAAUCCUGAUAUAACUUGGUUCAUCUUAAUGUAGGGUCUCAUGUUAACUACCUGAAUCAAGCAGCUAGUCAUUUGUCUAUGGACCACAUUUAUGUUCCACUUGAAUCACCUACCAUCACAUGUUCUCAAAUUUCUGGUGUUACAAAUUAAGAGCCAAUUCCAGUUUUUUACCAACUGUCAGUUAUAACAUGGGUGGAAUCCCAACAAAUUACCAUGGGGAGGGGAAAUACAUAUAGAACCAUCGAUUCCAAUAGUUGCAGUCUCUAUUGCAAAAAAUGAACAGUGUAUGUGAAAAGUGAAAUUAUACCUAAGGGGAAUCAACGUUACAACCAAGUUGUGAUUCAACAUUGUAGCCGCAAGACCAGACGUGGUCUUGAAAAGUAAUGACGAUAUAUUGGUAAUGACCGGUGGCGAAGCUGGAAACAUCAGGAGGAAAGGAUGAGAUUGUAGUGGGUUCGUAGGCGUUAGAAUUGAUUCCGGUGACGUAGAUGGGUUGGCUAAGAGCACCAUGGGUGUCGUCUCGUUUUUCCAACAUCCCAGGAUUGAUUCACUAAUUUUCCAUCAACGAGAAUCUUGAAGAACACACAAAUGGCAAAUAUAUUUUAUUUAUGGGUUUAGGGUUGGUUCCACCUCAUUUUCCUCACGCUUCCUCUUCCCAUUUCUUUUCAUCUCCAAUAAUUUUUCAUCCUCCACUGUCACAUACAACAAACAAUCACACAACUUCGGUUGAUCUCUCUAAAUCCCUAAUGUUCUUAAAAUUACAUCAACUAAUCAUUUACCCGGAUGCCGGAUUUGGAUAAACCAGGUACGUCCAUGUACAUAAUCAGUUCCUUCGGUGUCUCCAGUAUAUCCACUGCAAUGUUGCCUUCCGAUUCGCCAUUUCCUUGAGGAGAACGAGAAGAAGGGAAGAUUACCUUACCAAUUGCGUCAGGGAUGUCCAACUGAUGUGGUUGGUGUUAGUUUGGCCCAGAAACAAAAUCGAAAAAUGAUUUGUCGAGGUGUUUAGUUUUUUCCAAUUUUUGCAUAAUCGAUUUUCAGAGUAUGUAUAUGUGUAUGUAUGAGUUACAAUGUAGAUGACGAUAGGUUUAGUUCUACUAUGAUAUAGAGGGAGAGACAUAUAUAUAUAGAGAGAGAGAGAGAGGUGGGUCCUCUAUUUUUUUAAUUGUUAAAAUAAAUAAAUAAAUAUUAAAUUAAAAAAAUGAAAGAAUAAAUGAAAAAUAAAUAACCCAAGGGUAUUAUAGUCAUUUCAAUUUUCAGAGGGACUAUUUUCACAUACAAACUACUCCAAAAGGACCAUGAAUCAAAAAACUCAGGGUUUGGACUAAAACCCCAAAAAUUUGCAUAGCACAGGGACCAUUUUUGCAGUUUUGUCGGUUGAUUAUAAAAAAAAUAGUAAAUUACACGAAUGGUCCCUAUGGUUUAAGAUAAUUUGCGUGUUUGGUCCCUAACUUAUUUUUUUACUCGGAAAGUCCCUACUGGUUGUUUUUGUUACGCUUGUGGUCCCUGUUUUACCUAAAAAAACUAUUUUGUCAUUCAUUUUUUAAUUUAUUUAAAUAAACACACCCCCAACACCACCCCCUCACCUUACCUUACAUACUCCAUCAUUUUUCUGUAUUUAAAUAAUAGUCUUUUUAGGUAAGACAGGGACCAAACGUGUAACAAAAGCAAAUAGUAGGGAUCAAGCACAUAACAAUAUCAAACAGUAAGGACCUUCCGAGUUAAAAAAUAAGUUAGAGAUUAAACGCGUAAAUUACUCCAAACCAUAGGGACCAUUCGUGUAAUUUACUCUAAAAAAAUUACAUAUAAAAAUAUAAAUAUUAAUUUUUUAAAAAGUAUUAUUUUGAAAUAAUACAAAUGAAAUGAUGAAUAAUCAAGUAAUUCAAUAUAUAUAUUGAUAAAAAAAAUAUUGACAUAUUUUAAAUAAUUGUGUUGUAUAUCAAAAUGUAAACAUUAAGCAUUUUUU